UUUGGACGAAAGGGCUACCUGAACACACACAUGAUGAUUCAUACAGGACAAAAAGCAUUUGUCUGUUCUGAGUGUGGUCAAAGAUUUGGACAAAAGAGCCAGCUGAAAAGACACAUGGUAAUUCAUACGGG